rnacentral:rRNA from 1 species
AUACGGAGGGUGCAAGCGUUAAUCGGAAUUACUGGGCGUAAAGCGCGCGUAGGCGGCUUUGUAAGUCGGAUGUGAAAGCCCCGGGCUUAACCUGGGAAUUGCAUUCGAUACUGCAUGGCUAGAGUAUGGUAGAGGGUAGCGGAAUUCCGGGUGUAGCGGUGAAAUGCGUAGAUAUCCGGAGGAACACCAGUGGCGAAGGCGGCUACCUGGACCAAUACUGACGCUGAGGUGCGAAAGCGUGGGGAGC